rnacentral:rRNA from 1 species
UACGUAGGGUGCGAGCGUUAUCCGGAAUCAUUGGGCGUAAAGAGCUCUGAGGCGGUUCAGCAAGUCGGCUGUGAAAGUCCGAGGCUCAAACUCGGAAUUGCAGUCGAUACUGCUGUGACUCGAGUCCGGUAGAGGAGAACGGAAUUCCCGGUGUAGCGGUGAAAUGCGCAGAUAUCGGGAGGAACACCAGUAGCGAAGGAGGUUCUCGGGGCCGGCAUUGACGUUGAGGAGCGAAAGCGUGGGGAGCGAACAGG